UACGUAGGGUGCGAGCGUUAAUCGGAAUUACUGGGCGUAAAGUGUGCGCAGGCGGCGCCGCAAGUCGAGUGUGAAAGCCCCGAGCUUAACUUGGGAACUGCGCUCGAAACUACUUGGCUAGAGUGUGGCAGAGGGAGGUGGAAUUCCACGUGUAGCGGUGAAAUGCGUAGAGAUGUGGAGGAACACCGAUGGCGAAGGCAGCCUCCUGGGCCAACACUGACGCUCAUGCACGAAAGCGUGGGGAGCAAACAGG
rnacentral:rRNA from 1 species